UGCAAGUCGAGCGGACAGAAGGGAGCUUGCUCCCGGAUGUUAGCGGCGGACGGGUGAGUAACACGUGGGUAACCUGCCUGUAAGACUGGGAUAACUCCGGGAAACCGGAGCUAAUACCGGAUAGUUCCUUGAACCGCAUGGUUCAAGGAUGAAAGACGGUUUCGGCUGUCACUUACAGAUGGACCCGCGGCGCAUUAGCUAGUUGGUGAGGUAACGGCUCACCAAGGCGACGAUGCGUAGCCGACCUGAGAGGGUGAUCGGCCACACUGGGACUGAGACACGGCCCAGACUCCUACGGGAGGCAGCAGUAGGGAAUCUUCCGCAAUGGACGAAAGUCUGACGGAGCAACGCCGCGUGAGUGAUGAAGGUUUUCGGAUCGUAAAGCUCUGUUGUUAGGGAAGAACAAGUGCAAGAGUAACUGCUUGCACCUUGACGGUACCUAACCAGAAAGCCACGGCUAACUACGUGCCAGCAGCCGCGGUAAUACGUAGGUGGCAAGCGUUGUCCGGAAUUAUUGGGCGUAAAGGGCUCGCAGGCGGUUUCUUAAGUCUGAUGUGAAAGCCCCCGGCUCAACCGGGGAGGGUCAUUGGAAACUGGGAAACUUGAGUGCAGAAGAGGAGAGUGGAAUUCCACGUGUAGCGGUGAAAUGCGUAGAGAUGUGGAGGAACACCAGUGGCGAAGGCGACUCUCUGGUCUGUAACUGACGCUGAG
rnacentral:rRNA from 1 species